UAAUACAGAGGGUGCGAGCGUUAAUCGGAAUUACUGGGCGUAAAGGGCGCGUAGGUGGUUGUGUAAGAUGGAUGUGAAAUCCCUGGGCUUAACCUAGGAACUGCAUCGAUGACUGCAUGGCUGGAGUACUGUAGAGGGUAGUGGAAUUUCCGGUGUAGCGGUGAAAUGCGUAGAGAUCGGAAGGAACAUCGGUGGCGAAGGCGGCUACCUGGACAGAUACUGACACUGAGGCGCGAGAGCGUGGGUAGCAAACAGGAUUAGAUACCCUGGUAGUCCACGCUGUAAACGAUGAAGACUAGAUGUUGGGCAGCAUGACUGUUUAGUAUCGAAGCUAACGCGAUAAGUCUUCCGCCUGGGGAGUACGGCCGCAAGGUUA
rnacentral:rRNA from 1 species